UAUAAAGACUUAACAUAUAAUAAAGACAAGGUAAUUUUUUUUAGUUCAGUAUUAUGACAUUAUUUAUGUUUGUGGCAUGUUUUCUUUUAUUUACCUCCAGUUAGUUAAACCCAAGGCAAGACAAAUAAUUUUUUUCAAUCCACUUGGUGAAACCCUUUUACAAAAGACGAUGAUUCAUGAGAACUGAAGGUACAUUAUAUAUGAACAAACAUACAUUAUAUACUUGUUUAUCAUUUUGGGGGAUAAAAACUAGUUAAUCAUAUUGGGGGAUAAAAACUAAUGCAACUUAGUAUAAUCAGAAUGUAUAUAAACCAUGUAGAUAAUUGAUUCCAUGUUAAACAUGCCCUUUCUGGAUAAUUAACUCUGUCAGGUAUGUUUUAGUUAUUUCUUCAAUCAAAGAUUUGCAACUGGUUUAGAAUCAAGCACGUCAAGUAUCCAGAAUGGGAAUUGGACCCUGCAUACAGUAGAUCACAGCAAACAGCUGGAUAGCCAUAACUGUGGCGUUUUUUUCUCCUUGUAAGCAUUCCUUUGAAAAAAUGAAAUUAUAAUUGGUAUUCUGUUGUUACAAGUCCCUUAAAUUGCUGUUGGUAUUUAUCUAAAAUUGUUAUUAUUUUUUUUAGUAUUGUGCAAGACACUUUUCAAAGGAAAACCUUUUGAACAUUUCUCCUGAAGAAUUGAGAGUAAGCAGAGUAAGAAUAGCAAAGCGUCUUUUAAUGUAUCAAGGUACAUGUACUAAUUAUAUUACGUUAUAAUUUACUUAAAUUAGAUUUUCAUAUUAUAUCACUACACUUUUUACAGAGAUUUUCUGAGAGAGACUGUGAGGGAUUGUUGGAUGCCAGGAGACAUUGUGGCUGGUACAGAAUUCCAGAAACUGUAGGGAAAAUAGAAUCCAACAUUCCACCACUUCCUGAUAAUGUACAGACUCGAUUUUAUGGCUUCAACAUUGUCGGUGACUUUGGUGAUGGCUACAUUGAUCAUCUACCAUCUUCCAUACAGAAAGAUAAGUUAUGUCCCUUGACAACAGGGUUUUCUCCUAGCGAAAGUUUGUUUGCAUCCAUUAGCAUUCUAAUAUGGGGAGAUGUGAAAAAAGUGCAGUUUUUAAGACUGGCAGUAGUAUGCCAUGAAAUCACUGUCAACGUAGAGAAGACUUAAUUCGACUUGAAAUGGACCCUAAGUCAACGAAAAGCUCUCCUGAUGCACGUAUGAUUGUUUGAAUGUUUCUACAUUGAAACUUAUGAUAUCCUUGAUUUAAAAUAAAUAUGCCCAUACUAUGCAGCAACUUUAUAAAUUAUAUGAUCGUUUUCAAAACAAAAUAUUAAAGUACAUGAUUUUUUAAAGUAUAAUAACAAUACUGAUAUGUUCUAUCGUGCUUAAUGUUGUAGGUGAACUGCACUUGAAAGCUAUAGCUACACUAGCAAAGCGAACAAUUACUAUGUAUUUAAACAGUGGGGAGAAAGAGCAUGUCCAUCCAAAUGAGAACAAUAAAUCCAUUGUUCCUAAUGUUUGGCUUCUUGAAAUGAAAAUGAAAGAACACACAAGCAUUUUUGCCUUUGGUGUAUAGUUUCCUUGUUAGAAGAGGGCAGAAGUUUUUUUGAGAAAUGUGGAGCCAAAAUAUAUGGAUUAUGUCAGGGAGAUUUUGGUGACAAAAUAACAUGUUCUACGUGUGGCCAAAAAUAUCACAAGCACUGCAUUGACGUUUCAGCCGAACCUUUCAAAUGUGGAUGUCAUGUCCCUAUGCCCUAUCAGGUCAAAGAGUAAAUAUUGUUCUUCAUAAAUUAGUAUACUGCAACACAUUGUUAAUAUCAAAAUAAUAAUUAGAAUAAUUGGUUUUGAUUUUAGUGAAAGAUUCUUUGAAACCGAUGACAAGUUUUUUAGAAUUCUGAAGGAAAUAGACAUACAAGUAUGUUACAUAUUGAGCACUGCAUGUGAAUGUCAUUUUUGUAUGAUUAUCGGUAAUUUAAUCAGCUUUUUAGAUUUAAUUAUACCUCUGCAAACAGGAUUUGAGGGGGUAUAUAGGAAUCACUUUGUCCAUUCAUCCAUCUGUCAGUACAAUCAUGUCCAGUCAAUAUCUUUCUAACAUUGGAAUUUCUUACUAAACAGUCUUACAUGUAUUUAUGGGCAAACACUUGGUGCGGGUUUUACUGUCUAAUGACAGCAUCUAGUUGAAUUUGUGCUCGAUUUACGCUAUGGAGAAUCUGUAAAAUCGGUGGUAAUUUUAAAAACUUUUCACAUAAUUGCUCCUUUAAAGCCCACACGAUACCAAGUUGAUCUACCAUGGUUCAACAGCAGGGUUGAUGAACUUAACAGAAGAAAUUCAGAGUACAUUAAAGAAGUGGAGGGUGUAGCUGUCUUUCGUCUUUCAGGAUUCCUGAAUCCCCCAAAUCGGUCUAAUGUCUACCUUGAUGAUGGAGUUCACCUUAA